rnacentral:rRNA from 1 species
AGAGUUUGAUCCUGGCUCAGGAUGAACGCUGACAGAAUGCUUAACACAUGCAAGUCUUUGGCGAAUCUGUGCUUGCACAGGCUAGCCAAGGCGGACGGGUGAGUAACGCGUAAAGAACUUGCCCUGCAGACAGGGAUAACAGACGGAAACGACUGACAACACCUGAUACAGUUGCCGGCACGCAUGUGCCCGGCAAUGAAAAGAGAUGCUGCGGGAGAGCUUUGCGUCCUAUUAGCUUGUUGGCGGGGUAACGGCCCACCAAGGCGAUGAUAGGUAGCCGGCCUGAGAGGGUGGACGGCCACAAGGGGACUGAGAUACGGCCCUUACUCCUACGGGAGGCAGCAGUGGGGAAUAUUGGACAAUGGGGGCAACCCUGAUCCAGCAAUUCUGUGUGCACGAGGAAGGUUUUCGGAUUGUAAAGUGCUUUCAGCAGGGAAGAAGGAAGUGACGGUACCUGCAGAAGAAGCGACGGCUAAAUACGUGCCAGCAGCCGCGGUAAUACGUAUGUCGCGAGCGUUAUCCGGAAUUAUUGGGCAUAAAGGGCAUCUAGGCGGCCGGAUAAGUCUGGGGUGAAAACUUGCGGCUCAACCGCAAGCCUGCCCUGGAAACUAUGCGGCUAGAGUACUGGAGAGGUGGACGGAACUGCACGAGUAGAGGUGAAAUUCGUAGAUAUGUGCAGGAAUGCCGAUGAUGAAGAUAGUUCACUGGACGGCAACUGACGCUGAAGUGCGAAAGCUGGGGGAGCGAACAGGAUUAGAUACCCUGGUAGUCCCAGCCGUAAACGAUGAUUACUGGGUGUGGGCAUGAAGAGUGUCCGUGCCGAAGCUAAUGCGAUAAGUAAUCCGCCUGGGGAGUACGGCCGCAAGGCUGAAACUCAAAGGAAUUGACGGGGACCCGCACAAGCGGUGGAGCAUGUGGUUUAAUUCGACGCAACGCGAGGAACCUUACCAGAUCUUGACAUCCCACGUAUGCCUGCGAGAGCGGGCAGUGCCUUCGGGAACGUGGAGACAGGUGGUGCAUGGCUGUCGACAGCUCGUGUCGUGAGAUGUUGGGUUAAGUCCCGCAACGAGCGCAACCCCUAUCGCUAGUUGCCAUCAUUAAGUUGGGGACUCUAGCGAGACUGCCUGCGAAGAGCAGGAGGAAGGUGGGGAUGACGUCAAGUCAUCAUGCCCCUUAUGAUCUGGGCUACACACGUGCUACA